UCGUCUGCUCCGGAGGAGCCGGGGGGCGCGCAGGCGCGCUGCGCGCGGCCUCGCCCGGGCUGAGGCGGCCGGGCCCGACGCCGCCGCCAUCGGCUGCCCCCAGCGGCUCCGCCGGCGCGGCCCCGGGCGGUCCGGAGGGGCUGGCCGUGCCCCCCGGGGAGCGCCUCUCGGCCCCGCACGGGCGCGUUAGGGCGCCUUCGCGGCGGGCCCAGGCCGGGCGUUGCGGCCGCGCCGCCCCUCGCGCGGAGCAGAGAGCGAAAAUGCCCCAGACAAGCGCAGUGGCUGGGUGCGGUCUGACUGGAUGUGAAGAGUUUCAGAGUUUUGUCCAGUAUUCUGCCACACAAGUGCAAUGUCUGGUAAAUGUAAAUAUUGUUAUUUUUAUUACUUAAUGUUAUUGCUGUUAUGGUGGGAGUAGAAGGAGUUUAGCUCUGAAAUAUGGUACUUUACACAGAUUGGGAGGCGGAUUGUCUUCAAUGACUGACCAAAACUGGGAGUAAGAGAGAAAUACCAUCUCUUUUGAAUUAAUUAUGAACCACACAGCUCUUGCUAUUAUCUGUUUACACAUUAUUGGCCUUGUGAGGUACUGGUGAGAGAUUGCCUUUCACUGUCUGGUCCAAAUGUACUUUAAGUCCAAUUUCGCUAAAAAGACUGCUCGCUUUACUUGUUGAAAGGGUCAUUGUGUUAGUUAUUACAGUGUUUUCUUUGUGCUCGCUUUCCCCGAAUUCCAGUAACUACUUUGUAGAAAAGUUUGAAAGUGAACUUUUGAUGCCUGUGAAAGCUGCUUCAUUGACUUUAUUGACUCCAGAGGCUGAAGUUCUUUAUCCACAGAGAUCUUUAAAAGGAUACUAAAAAGUUUCAGCCAGAGCUUAUAGAAUUUGGUACUUAUGGUUAAGUAUUAUGGGCCCAAUGCUGUUCCCAUGGAGACCGAAAGGAAUUUUUCCAUUGAAUUAAGUGGUAGCAAAGCAUAUCCUUUAUUAAGUGGGAAAAGGAGUAGACUGGAGAACUCAGUUCGUUGUUACUGGGUUUGUUUGCUUGCCGGCUUUUCUGUAUAAAGAAAUAAACCAGAAGAAAUUAUAGAUAUUUACAUUGUGAUUCGUCUGCUUCAUACUUCCUGUGUUUGUAGGUGAAACUGUGUUUGUAGCUACAAUGGGAAUACCCCAAGAGGCAACAGUAGAGACAUCUUUGUUUUACUUAUUGCUAAUGUCUUUCCUUGAAAGUCUGGAUGUGUGGAGGGGGUUUUAGUUCACCCCAAGUCUCCUGGUUGGGAGAGGUCAGCAGCGGUACAACUGGUUUCUGUUGGCAGAUAUUAUUAGCACCUCUUUAACUGAAGGUUGUGUGCCAGCUGUAAGGGCACAGUUUAAUGUAAAUUUUUAAAACACUCCAACUUGUUAACAGUAAAAUUCUGAUGAUUUACUAAAAGACAAAUCACAACUAUACCCACAUUUAGAAAAAGGUCUUCCAUUUUGGAUGUUUGUGAGACAGCUCAAGUAAGUAGUUGUCAAAAGUCUACGGUGAGCAGACUCUUUCGUCCAAAGUGAAUUCACUGCUUGAGUGAGGUCUCUACCUGUAUUCUGCAAUAGAUAAAUAACCAGAUCCUGCCAGUCUUACAUAUGAAAAUCCACACUAAUUUACACAAAAAGAGAAAAUCAAGGCCUAAAAUUGUACAAUAUAGUGCUGAAAAUUGUUUUUCUGGUCGGAACUCUAUCACGAAAUCCUGGACUACUGAAGUCAACAGAUUUAUGAUUGAUUUAAAUGGAGCGAGGAUUUUGUCUAUAAUGAAGUCCUUUCAUUUUGGAUCACUGUGAGAUUUCUCUUGUUCCUUCUUAGUGCCUUAUGACACAUUCUCUCUGUCCUUGCCUCAGACAAAGGGAAAUUAUACUAUCAUAGUCUCCCUUUAAAUAUUUUCUAUUUGAGGGCUCACUGAAAAGACUCCAGAGGCAAAUUCUUGGUUUAGAAGUUGCUAUUUAUGUCUAGACACAUCUGAAUGUCGUUAUGCUUUGAAUGUUCUGGAUUGCUUGCCACUUUCUUUGUAAAGAUGUAUGAGUCUAGAGAGAGAGUGCAUUAUUUUAAAUUAACUUGAAAUAUGCUUUAACCAUGUCAAGGUUCAACUUGUUGCAACUGGCUCCCGUGAUAAAAAUAUAUAACAGUAUAUAAAGCAAGACCACAAGUAAAAUUAUUAUUAUUUGUACUUUAAAGCAGAGCAGAAACACAUUCUCAAUAUGUGGCACUGUAUUCCUUUAACAUAUUACUUUUAGUAUUUGAAUUAUCAUAUUGUCUCAGACUUCUGGUCAUGGCCAGGAGCCUACAUACUAGGCAUUCUACACAAACAAAACCAUUAUGUUGUUUUUACCUUAAAGGGUUUCAGUCUAAGUGUGAGGCAGGUGAUGACAGGGAAUACAGUCAGGCAGGGAAGUACCAGAAAAUAAUGAAAAGAUAAUAACUGCCAAGAAAGAUGGUGGUCUCGCUAUUGCUAAUCAACUAUCAAAGCUCUCAAUAAAUAGAUAUGUUUGGCAAUUUAUAUAUUUCAUAGGAAAAAAAGUAGCUACAGAGUUAUGCACACCUGGAGUAAGGAGCCAGAUUGUCUUCAAUACAUGCCUUCAGUUCCAAAAAUAGGUUACAUGACACAGUUUUCUUUUAAAAGGUCAAAGAAUUAAUGUUUCGUUUGCUUUUGUCAAAGCUAUGAAUCAGUCAGGUGGCUCCAAAACUUUGAACAAGAGACAAUACUAAAUAUGCCUCUUCCUAAGUAAAUUGUACAUUGUAACUGUAAUAUUGUAUGUAACAGAUUUUUACUGAGCAUUCUUGUAUUGGCUUGGAAUUGAACUUCUAACUUCAGCUGAAGUAUAUUUUUGCAAGUACUGGCCCUUGCACUUCAAGACACGGACAAGUGGGUGAGAAUCUAGAGUAAAGCAACAAAAAUGAUCAAACGUCUAGAAAUCGUCGCUUUGCUUACUUGUCUGGACAAAGAUUGAAAGAAUGGAGAUUAUGUGAUGUGAAAGAGAGAAGACAGAUUUCAAGCAGACGCUGGAAGUAUCUGUUCCUUGGAAUUGAUUGCUUAGGGAGACUGCAGCAGGUGUUGGAACAGGCUGGGAAGACAUCUGGCAGGAGCGGUGUGCACGCGGUUGAUCCUAUCUUCAGGCAGGAAGUCAGGUGAUCACUUGAACUCACUUGCACCUCCAUUUUUCUGCAGUUCCGUAAUUCUAGAAGGAUUCUUUGAAGUAUUCUAAAGUACUAAAUUGCUGCUUGUUUUUAUUCAUUUCUAAAUCUUGUGUUUGCUUAUCAAGCAGGUAAGUCAGGAGAGGGGCAGGAGAGACAAAAUGAAAAGCAACCAUAACCAUCUGUAGCUCUAACAAGGCUUGCACAUCCACUUGAAGAAGGAUGGACUUACAACUCCUAUAAUUAUUUUCUGCCUUGCUGUUGUGUAGGUAUUAAUGUCACGGCGUUUCUGUAUGAGCUAGAUUAAGAAAUACAGAAUUUUGUAGUGUUUUUCUUUAAUGAGAAACAGAGCCUCUGUGUCAAUCACAAUACUUUCUCUCACUGAAUUUGGUGAGAGCAUGGUAGGACUCACAGUGAUGUUAGUACAGUGCUGGGCAUGUCCAAGUACAAAUCUUCAAAUUUGUUUUGGAUAUCAAGGAUGGGAAUGCACAAAAAUAAAUUAUAUGGUGUAUGCCAGUUAGUUAUGGUAUCAAAACUAACUGUGAACAGUCGACACAAAUGGAGAGCUUGGACAGUAUUUUCAGGGACAUUUCAUCCCUAAACCUGGCAAAACAGAGGUCACAUAUAGACAUGAAAAGAGUGAGACUCCAUGGUUUUACAUCAUUGUAAAGCAUGCAGAAUAUUAUUACGUAUCUGUAUAUCAGUUUAUCUAACUGAAUUGUGUUACUGCUGAUUGCAUGCUGUUUUACAUUCUUUUUUUGAAGUCUGGAGAAAAUAUUUCAAAUGAACAAUCAAAAGAAUAUUUUACUCUUUUCACAUUCAGGGUGUGGAUUCUAUGAAACAUUUAUUCAGAAAACAGAAUAUUAGGGCCUGACAGAUAUCUCUAACGUCACUGAGUAAGCGGGUUAUAUGGAGAUUUCUAGUACAAACAAUCCAGUAUUUUGAUGAAUACGUGAGUAAUAUCAGUAUAGGAGUUGGAAAGCUAGAUUAGAUUGGUGAUGAAGUUACUGUCAUUUCAGUGAUUAUAAUAAAGCUUGAAAAUUAACAAUCUAUUAAAAUGAGUGCUGGCAGAGAAAUUUACGUCUUUCUUUAUCAUUUUGUUUCUUUAAACAAAGAACAACAGAGCACUGCUUUACAGUGUUAAUAUCUUUGUUGCACAGGGCUAGACAUAGUAGAAACAGAUUGCUGCAUGAUAUAGUAUCUUAGAUAGUGAAUUUUGCAAGAAGGUCAGGGAAAUGUUGUAUUCCCACAUGGAGCUUUUUGGUCAUGGCUUUAUGUUUGUUGUUGUUUUUGUGUGUGACAUUUGUCUGGGAUUCUGACACUUUAUUUUCACUCAGUGUUGUCAUCAAAAUGAGAUGGACCCUCUCUGUUAACUGAAGUGGCUAGGAGCUCUGAGACCUUAGAUUGUAAUUACAUUGCUUCAAAUGUCAAGUUCUUCAAAAGCAUAUCACUUUUGGUGAUAUAAACCUAAGCAGCUUAGGUGAUAGAAAACUUAAGUAGCUUAAUAGCUUCACGAUGCCUUAUAAUGUAUUGGGAAUCUCCCUGCAUAGAGAAUCUGAUAGGGGAAAUCUGAGUCAUGGUGACAGCUUUAACAAACAGGAAGACAGUGAAGCGAAGUGAGUAUGUGAUGAGCUCAGAAUAGGUGAGGUGAUGAUUUUCUAUUUAUAGAUGCAGUAAGAGGCUCAGAGACAGGAACUCCAGGCAGGGACAGUAUUUGGUACUAUAUGAAAAUUAUUCCUUUUUAGAGUUGCAAGUGGAACAGAAUUUGUAGCUGGCAUAGUCUCAGAGUUCCCUGGUUCUAUAAACACCUUUCUAUAGAAACACAGCUUUUGAUGAGAGACUGAAAGAUAGUACAUUUUAGCAAUACAGACAUUGCUGAAUUUUAUCUUUCUGUUCUUUAGCAAGUGUAUUUUGUUUUAACAGAGGAAGAAUGAAAUGAUGCUGUGUAUCUUUUCAACUGUACCUGAGCUUUUAUGUUAACAGCAGUCUCGUCUCAUUAUUUUAGGGUAUAAUUCAGGAAUGAAUUUGGUCCAGUUUAUUUACUGGAAGAUUCUCCCUGUUGUUAAGCAAUUCUGGAAAGUAGAGUUAAAGAACUCAAAUACAGUAAUAUGUUUUCUUCAUGAGAGACAUUAAUUAUUACAGAAUCCGGUUGCAUCUAACUAAUCUCCAUCAGCUCAAAUUAAUAACAAAGAGAUUGUGUUUGUGUCAGUUAUUUGAUAAAGGGUGUCAUGUUGUAGCUACCUUCUGAAAAAAAGAGGGGACUCCAGAGCUCAGACUGCCAGUUAGAAACCUUACAGUUCUUACUUGGAGACUGACAUAAAAUGAGUGCCUUUGAAAAGAUGGCUGUACAGUAAACCUGUCUACUGCAGCUGGCACAGACCUGGCACUCUUGAUGGGAGUCUUAACAUAGGGAUCAAAGAUUACAUUAACAAUUGCAAAUGUAUUACUUCUCUGAAUCCUAGAAGUUGUCCCUCUAAGGCAAUGUAGAGCUGUAGUGCUAGGUAGUGCUGAGAAGUGGCUGGGAAGGUGCUAGUUCUUCCAGGAGGCUGAUCCAGUGCUGCUCUGUGCUAGAACAUGAAAUAGUGCCAGGGACUGCUCCCGAGCCCUGGGACACAAUCAUCCGUGCUUGCUGUUGUUAGGCUGGGCCCUAGCAUGGUUUUGGCUUGUGUCAGCACUUUCCCAGACAAUUCCUAGACAUGUCUUAAGAGUUAGCUUGGGCCAUUUCCAAUACACGGUUUGAACAUGCCACUCUGUUUUGAAGAGUAGAAAGCUUUAAUAACAACGAUGACGGCCAUCCUGUGCUACUUGGCCCCAGUGCCAGAGAAUGGUCCCAGCAUGUUCAGUUUAGUAGGAGAGAUGUACCCUUUUUUCAGGAUAGUACCACAGAAGAAAAAAAAAAAACAAAAGAAACCAUAAAACAUCAGACAUUAUAAUCCUACAAACAAGUUAAAAGUUUUAUCGUGAAAUACCUUGUCAUAAAAUAUUUUCUGUCUUUCUUUAAGUCACAAGUAACACAUUUGUAUCUAUAAAGUCAAUGAAUCUGUCUCUGCCUCUGGCUAGACCCCUGUCUUGCAUCCAUCAGAGUCAAGGAUCAAUGUUAUGCUUGUUUCAUGGAUGCUGAAUUGAGUAUUUAGUGCCCAGCUCUGUAUGUCUGCAUACUCUUAAAUCCUGAUGAGUUCAAUGAGCACUGAAAGAGCUCAUCGCCUCAGAGGAUCAGACAGAUAUUGAAGUCAGUGAAGCCUCACUGAAGUCCAUGUCACAAGCUUAAAAAGGUCAGUUAUAUAUUUACAAAAGCCCAUGAGAGUUGAAUUGUGCCCUGAUUGAGACUCUACUGGAAGUAAUACAUGUGAUUGUGUUGAUGUUUACAUUAUUUCCUGGCAGGGAGAAAUUCAGACUUGUUCUUGAUGUUUUUAGGCAACACAAAGCUAGCAGGCUGAUUUGUAUUCAACUGCUGCAUAUUGAGACUGGUCAUCGCUCUUGUAAAUGGUAGAUAGGAGGAACUGCUAUAGCAGAGAAAUAUUUCUUCUGUUUUAGGAUAGAUUUUAACCAUAGUCCUCCAGCUCCUAAUAACCAAAGCAAGAGUUAUGUGUCUAGCAUUCUGUGCCCCACACUUACAGUUAUUUAUUCCGCGAUGUGCAGGAAGGAAGGAGACGUGUGCAAUCUCCAUUCUUCUUAACAGGAACUGUGCACCUAAUUCUCUGUGCAUUGUACUGAAAAUGAACUAGGAAGAUGUGUUCUGCAUCAGCAAAAAGGCUCCCUUAUUCAGCUGGAAUGAGAACAUGCACACUAUAACUUGGGAGUAAAGAAAAUCACUGUAAACGAUUUCUUUAAACAGGGUCUGUUGGGUUUUUCCCUAAAUUUUUGCUGAGAGUGAAGAUUCUGCAGUAUUUUUUCUCCCUUCUCCCACCCAAUUGCUAACCUUUCAGUUGCAUGCAUUUCUGCUGCUUCUAGCACUUUUAGUCUAAUGAGUUUUUCAUCUCUUCACUAGCUUAUGGCUAAAACAGUCCUUGUAACAGUAAUUUUAGUUACUUACUUUCCUGUAUAAUUAUUUCCAUUUGUUCCCAGUCUCUCUCUUCCUCGGGAAAGGGCUUCCUGGUGUCUCACCUUGAUAGACCUGUCCUCAGAAUUUCUCUGCUUAGUGCAAACGGCCUCACUGCAGGUGUCAAAAUCAGCUGUCAGCACCUUUGUGAGACAUAUUUUCAGGUUGUGGUGAUACCUUAUUCUUAGCUUGUAUGUUGCUUAAAUCAAGACUGAAAUUUUACUGUUUGGCUGCUCAAUUAAUAAAAAGUGCAUUGGCUUACA